UACGUAGGGUGCAAGCGUUGUCCGGAAUUAUUGGGCGUAAAGAGCUCGUAGGCGGUCUGUCACGUCGGCUGUGAAAACUCGGGGCUCAACCCCGAGCCUGCAGUCGAUACGGGCAGACUAGAGUGCUGUAGGGGAGACUGGAAUUCCUGGUGUAGCGGUGAAAUGCGCAGAUAUCAGGAGGAACACCGGUGGCGAAGGCGGGUCUCUGGGCAGUAACUGACGCUGAGGAGCGAAAGCGUGGGGAGCGAACAGG
rnacentral:rRNA from 1 species